AUUGAACGCUGGCGGAAUGCUUUACACAUGCAAGUCGAGCGGCAGCGCGGGGCAACCUGGCGGCGAGCGGCGAACGGGUGAGUAAUACAUCGGAACGUGCCCAGACGUGGGGGAUGACUACUCGAAAGAGUGGCUAAUACCGCAUACGAUCUACGGAUGAAAGCGGGGGAUCGCAAGACCUCGCGCGUCUGGAGCGGCUGAUGGCAGAUUAGGUAGUUGGUGGGAUAAAAGCCUACCAAGCCAACGAUCUGUAGCUGGUCUGAGAGGAUGAUCAGCCACACUGGGACUGAGACACGGCCCAGACUCCUACGGGAGGCAGCAUGGGGAAUUUUGGACAAUGGGCGAAAGCCUGAUCCAGCCAUUCCGCGUGCAGGAUGAAGGCCCUCGGGUUGUAAACUGCUUUUGUACAGAACGAAAAAGCUCUGGCUAAUACCUGGAGUCCAUGACGGUACUGUAAGAAUAAGCACCGGCUAACUACGUG
rnacentral:rRNA from 1 species